rnacentral:tRNA from 1 species
UCCAUUUUGGCUCAGAGGUUAAAGCUUCCGCCUGCAAUGCGGGAGACCUGGGUUCGAUCCCUGGGUCAGGAA